UUCUCCGAUAAUGUAAUGGUUGCAUAUCAGGCUCAUAAUCUGAUAGUGGUGGUUCGAUUCCUCCUCGGGCUUAUAAA